UCCGUAGGUGGAUAAUUAAGUCAGAGGUGAAAUCCUGCAGCUCAACUGUAGAAUUGCCUUUGAUACUGGUUAUCUUGAGUCAUUAUGAAGUAGUUAGAAUAUGUAGUGUAGCGGUGAAAUGCAUAGAUAUUACAUAGAAUACCAAUUGCGAAGGCAGAUUACUAAUAAUGUACUGACACUGAUGGACGAAAGCGUGGGGAGCGAACAGGAUUAGAUACCCUGGUAGUCC
rnacentral:rRNA from 1 species